rnacentral:lncRNA from 1 species
AUAGACUCCCCAUGCUCCCUUGAAGACACACCGCCUUACUGCACGCCGCACUGCGCAGAGGCCGAGGAACUAGGCUCAGCUUGCAAAGCUCAGGGCCUCCUGCGAACACCUGCCGCAAACACCCGGCCUUGGCCUAGCUGCAGCCGCUAUUCUAGAUCUCACCCCGGGCUCCUCGCGAGGCUGCAAGCCAGGACUUCCCACGAUCGCACGUCAAUCCGUGCGACUCUGGUUCCAGUUAAGAUGCCUUUUGAGGACGUGUUUGGCUGUGGGCAAGGAGAGAGAGGAAACGUCCGGGAUGGUUUGGAUUGAGGGGAAGUCAAAUGCGGGACCUGAAGGUUCGUCUUGGUCUGCAUUCAGCCUGGCGCGCUCUGGUCUCCUACCCUCCUCUAGCCCAGUGUCUGGAUCCAGGCGGUCACCGACCUGGUUCCUCGAGUGCCGUAGCACUGCCGCAUUGUAAUAAGCCUCCUGCCAGUGUGUUGCCAGGUCGAAUUACGAGACGUUAUUGGAAAGCCCUUUGCGCACUCCAAACCUGCAGCACGGUUGUUAGUUCGCUGAGCUCUUUGAGAGAUUUCUCUGGCACCUUUUUUCUUUCAAAGUAAGAUUGAUAUGUGCCUGCUCAUAUUAAAAUGCUUGUCUCAGA